UUUCUUCUUGUUCCCUAGAUAUUUCAUUAUCUGGAUAUUGCUAAUUGUUGGAUGUGAGGAGACAUGAUUUUAUUUUGGGUUGAUUCUUUUUUUCUUUUUCUGUUUUUUAAUUUAAUCAUGGUAUAACUACAGAUCUGGGUUGUUAUUUUGGGUAUAUAAAUGUUUUUUUUUUUUUUUUCGAAUUUGGUGGAUUUUGUGGCUAGCAGCGAUUGUUAAGUAUAGUGAUCUAAUAUUUUUGGCUCUGAGAUGGUAGGAUUUUGAAGAUGGGUUGGUGGAGGAGAAGGAUAUUUGAGGGUGGUGAAUCUAGGGGUUUGAAGAUGGAUUUGCUUGCAUGUAUUUAGUGUGCAAUGGCAGUCGACAGAUGAUCGAGAUGGAUGACUAAACCUGCUGGUGCCCUACGAUUCAUAUCGUUUUGAUUAGGCUGCAGAAUUUGCUGAGAUAUUUAGAGCUUCCUUUAACAUGAAAUUUCAUGUACUUUGCUUAGUCUCCGUUAUUGUCCCCUUACUUGAACAAUGACUUGUUUUGUGGUGCUUGAAAAAUAGCCAAUUUGUCCAAUGAAAAUAGUUUGUUUGGCAGCAAUUUUUUCCCUCUGCAAUUGCUGCUUCCCCAGAUGCUAAUGCCUUGCUUUCUCUUUACAUAUGGGUGUAUAAUUUAAGAUUAUUUUUUAAGCCACUCUGAAGGAAUAGUUUUAGUAAAGAAAAUUCCAAAAAUGGGAACUACGUAAAGUACCCAAACUUCCGGCAGGAAACCCAUUGAAAGAACUCUCAUCACACCUAUGUUGGGAACACAUCAAAGAAUUCACAUCGCACUUCUGUUGAGGACACAUCUGAAAGAAC
rnacentral:lncRNA from 1 species